rnacentral:rRNA from 1 species
AUUGAACGCUGGCGGCAUGCCUUACACACGCAAGUCGAACGGCAGCGGGGGAGAAGCUUGCUUUUCCUGCCGGCGAGUGGCGAACGGGUGAGUAAAGUAUCGGAACGUGCCCAGGAGGGGGGGAUAACGUAGCGAAAGUUACGCUAAUACCGCAUACGAUCUAUGGAUGAAAGCGGGGGAUCGCAAGACCUCGCGCGAUUGGAGCGGCCGAUAUCAGAUUAGGUAGUUGGUGGGGUAAAGGCUCACCAAGCCGACGAUCUGUAGCUGGUCUGGGAGGACUACCAGCCGAACUGGGACCGAGACACGGCCCAGACUCCUACGGGAGGCAGCAGUGGGGAAUUUUGGACAAUGGGCGAAAGCCUGAUCCAGCCAUGUCGCGUGCAGGAUGAAGGCCUUCGGGUUGUAAACUGCUUUUGUACGGAACGAAAAGGUUUGGCCUAAUAAGCUGAGCUCAUGACGGUACCGUAAGAAUAAGCACCGGCUAACUACGUGCCAGCAGCCGCCGUAA